rnacentral:rRNA from 1 species
UACGUAGGGGCAAGCGUUGUCCGGAAUCAUUGGGCGUUAAAGGAGCGUGUAGGUCGGGCCGGAAGGUCUGGUGAUUGAAAGCCCGGGGCUCAACCCCGGAGGGUCACUGGAAACCAACGGCCUUGAGUCCGGAAGAGGAGAGUGGAAUUCCAUGGUGUAGGCGGUAGAAAUGCGUAGAUAUCUGAAAGGAACAUCAUGUGGCGAAAGCGACCUCCUGGACCAAUACUGACGCUCAGGUGCGAAAAGCGUGGG